rnacentral:lncRNA from 10 species
GGAAAUGAAGCUGCUGUAUUAAAAGGAUAUACUGCUAUCCUCAUUAGACAGACAUCCCACAGUCCAAUGAAACUCAACACAUCUAAAAGCCAAACUCACCUUGGUUUCCAUUAUCUUCCCAAAUAUUCAUUCCUUCUUUGUAUACCUACUUAAAAUGGUUGCAUCAGUACCAAAUCUUUUCCUUCACUCUCCAAGCCCCCAAAAUCCUGUCUCCUUAAAUACUUCAUCUACUCUGCCUUCUGCUGCAAUUGUCAGUAAAUACACUCACCAAGCUUGCCUCAAUUACUUCAAGUAUACUGUUUCCAAUUUCAGCUUCUCAAAUCAAGUGAGCACUCCACACUUCAACUGAUAUAUGCCUAUAGACUCAAAUCCAAACUCCUUAGUCUUCAUGAUUUAGUUCCUGCUAUCUCUACAAUGAUGUCACUCUCUUGUUCCCCUUUUAUUGCCAGCAUAUCAAAUUAUUUGUAGUUUCCUAGAAACAUGCCCUCUGAAUUUGCUACGUCCUUCAUGUUCUAGGUUGGCAUAUCCUCUCCUUUCUACUCGGCCAACAUCUGGACAUCCUCUGGGAGCUAUCUUGACUCCCGCAGCUAAUUAAUCUCAGAAUUAUCUUUCCACAAAAACAAAAAUUUUAAGAUAAAAAGAACCUUGUUCUGGGAUGGGCACGGUGGCU